UGGGGAAUAUUGGGCAAUGGGGGCAACCCUGACCCAGCGACGCCGCGUGGGGGAAGACGGCCUUCGGGUUGUAAACCUCUUUUGUACGGGAAGAAGGAAGUGACGGUACUGUACGAAUAAGUCCCGGCUAACUACGUGCCAGCAGCCGCGGUAAUACGUAGGGGACGAGCGUUGUCCGGAAUUACUGGGCGUAAGGGCGCGCAGGCUGUGCUGCAAGUCAGCUGUUAAAUGUCUGGGCUUAACCCGGGCAUGCGGUUGAGACUGCGGUGCUGGAGUGCUGUAGAGGCAAGUGGAAUUCCCAGUGUAGCGGUGAGAUGCGUAGAUAUUGGGAAGAGCGCCGGUGGCGAGGGCGGCUUGCUGGGCAGCAACUGACGCUGAGGCGCGGAAGCCAGGGGAGCAAACGG
rnacentral:rRNA from 1 species